rnacentral:rRNA from 1 species
AUUGAACGCUGGCGGCAGGCCUAACACAUGCAAGUCGAGCGAGCGGCGGACGGGUGAGUAAUGUAUGGGGACUGCCCGAUAGAGGGGGAUAACUACUGGACACGGUAGCUAAUACCGCAUACUAUCGGAUAACCCAUAUUGGAUUAGCUAGUAGGUGGGGUAAUGGCUCACCUAGGCGACGAUCCCUAGCUGGUCUGAGAGGAUGAUCAGCCACACUGGGACUGAGACACGGCCCAGACACCUACGGAGGAAGCAGUGGGGAAUAGUGCAAAAUGGGCGAAAGCCUGAUGCAGCCAUGCCGCGUGUAUGAAGAAGGCCCUAGGGUUGUAAAGUACUUUCAGUCGGGAGGCGUUACCGACAGAAGAAGCACCGGCUAACUCCGUGCCAGCAGCCGCGGUAAUUC